AGCUUUGCGCAGUGGCAGUAUCGUAGCCAAUGAGGUUUAUCCGAGGCGCGAUUAUUGCUAAUUGAAAACUUUUCCCAAUACCCCGCCUUGACGACUUGAAAUAUUAUACCUCUGAGGCAUCUCCUUUUACAUGGAUAAAGAGAAUAUUACCCAAAAAUUGUCAAUUGUAAUAACUAUGAUUUGAUUAUAAA